rnacentral:rRNA from 1 species
CCUACGGGGGGCAGCAGUGGGGAAUAUUGGACAAUGGGGGGAACCCUGAUCCAGCCAUGCCGCGUGUGUGAAGAAGGCCCUCGGGUUUUACAGCACUUUCAGUGAGGAAGAACGCCUGGUGGUUAAUACCCAUCAGGAAAGACAUCACUCACAGAAGAAGCACCGGCUAACUCCGUGCCAGCAGCCGCGGUAAUACGGAGGGUGCGAGCGUUAAUCGGAAUUACUGGGCGUAACGCGCGCGUAGGUGGCUUGAUAAGCCGGUUGUGAAAGCCCCGGGCUCAACCUGGGAACGGCAUCCGGAACUGUCAAGCUAGAGUGCAGGAGAGGAAGGUAGAAGUCCCGGUGUAGCGGUGAAAUGCGUAGAGAUCGGGAGGAAUACCAGUGGCGAAGGCGGCCUUCUGGACUGACACUGACACUGAGGUGCGAAAGCGUGGGUAGCAAACAGGAUUAGAUACACUGGUAGUC